rnacentral:rRNA from 1 species
UACGGAGGGUGCAAGCGUUAUCCGGAUUCACUGGGUUUAAAGGGUGCGUAGGUGGGUUGGUAAGUCAGUGGUGAAAUCCCCGAGCUUAACUUGGGAACUGCCAUUGAUACUAUCAGUCUUGAAUACCGUGGAGGUCAGCGGAAUAUGUCAUGUAGCGGUGAAAUGCUUAGAUAUGACAUAGAACACCAAUUGCGAAGGCAGCUGGCUACACGAAUAUUGACACUCAGGCACGAAAGCGUGGGGAUCAAACAGGA